UACGAAGGGUGCAAGCGUUAAUCGGAAUUACUGGGCGUAAAGCGCGCGUAGGUGGUUCGUUAAGUUGAAUGUGAAAGCCCCGGGCUCAACCUGGGAACUGCAUCCAAAACUGGCGAGCUAGAGUAUGGCAGAGGGUGGUGGAAGUUCCUGUGGAGCGGUGAAAGGCGUAGAUAGAGGAAGGAACACCAGGGGCGAAGGCGACCACCUGGGCUAAUACUGACACUGAGGUGCGAAAGCGUGGGGAGAAAACAGGAUUAGAUACCCCUGGAGUCC
rnacentral:rRNA from 1 species